UUUUUUUUCAUGUCGCCUUCCAUGUGUGCUUUUAACUCAUGCCUUUAACAUUGUCAUGCAUUAAUUAAGACUAAUUUAGAGUUUGUGUUCAAGUAAACGACAUUUUGCAAUACAAGUCCUAAGAUUGGUUUUCUGUAUAUUCUUCGUCACUCCAUCCUAAUCCCCUGGUGGUGAAAGUCACUAUGUUAGUGGAAAGGCAAUUCCUAAAAUUAUCUGGGAACUAUUUAAAGAAGCUACUUACGUUUUCUGAUCGGGUGCGCAUAUUUAUAAUACAACGCAUGCUUCUUAAUUAACUAAUAGUUUGAUAAUAAUUGGUAGUAAUCUUUGAAAAAUAAAUAACAUACAAUUUAAUUAAACUCCCUGUGUACGUCAGAUAUUUGCGUUAGUAGUUAAAUUAGUAAAAGUGUACCCAGAUAAUUAAAUACAACGCUAUAACUAUUAUAAUUAUGAUACUAUUUGUAUGAUAAAAUCUUCAGACCGAAUAUUCGACUGGCGGUUAGAAAUCGACUGAUCACGCUGAGGAAGAGCUGGUGUGGUUGCUGCAACAGUUUCAGACAACACCCACACUGGUCAAGACUAUAAUAUUCUGCAAGUCGUACAGGUGUGUAUAUCAAGUGUGGUCAUGGUUGGUUAUUCAACUCCGUGACACGUCUUACGACGGGGAGCACCGUAGCUACAACCGCGUUGUUGAAAUGUUUACAUCUUCAACAACGGACGCCACGAAGGAGAGGAUUUCUAAAUGAUUUCCGGGCCGGAAGAGUUAGCGUUGUUGAGGCAACAGUCGCCUUUGCGCUUGGAAUCGACAUUCCGGACGUGUGGCUCGUGGUCCACUGGGGUGCACCGCGCUCUAUCCUGUCUUACUGGCAGAGCCGGUAGCGAUGGAGAUCCAGCUCUUGCUCUAGUUUUCGCGUACCCUCGGUCCAUAACGGAUUGCCAUGACGCUAUGAAGACCAUGGUGAAUGGGACGGAAUGCGUCAGACAUACCGUUCUGAAGGAGCUAAGAACUAAAGACAUGAAUCCUAUUCCUGCCCAAGGCGAUGGUUGUCAAGAUGACACAUGUGAAGUGUGUGUUUGCCAGUUGUGUAUUUGUUGUAACAGAUGCUCA